CCCAGCAAAAAAAAAAAAAGAAAAAAGAAAGAAAAGCUCUAGAAAGUAAGAGAAGCACCCAUCUGGUCCUCUGAUUCCCCACCCCUGCUCAGAGAAAACCAGUCCUGCACUUACGCAGACAUGCACAGCUGCUCUUCAAGCCUCCAGAAUAACUUCUCAGAAACAGGCUUGUUUUCUGAAUUUCCCAGUUCCUUCCUGAAGGAAGGUUUCCCCAGCAGUCACUCCUGCAAGUGGCAAGAAACCACAGUUGGGAAUGAGGGGGGAGGCUCUCGCUGCCAGGGGUCCUCCUUACAGUUGGCAGCUGGAAAAUUCCGCUCAGUGGGGGUACAAUGGAGCAGGAACCGGUCCUGUUCAGACCCCCAGCAAGGAUGAGGUGUUUCUUGAGAGGCUGGGAGCUCAGCUGCAACUCAGGCGUCCUUGUGAAGAAAGUAAUGUUUUAAAGGAAACUGGGCAGAGCCCACCUGGCAAUCUUUACUUCUGGACCUCCUUGACAACAGACAACUCAGAGGAGCCUGGGAAAAGUAAAGGGACACUGAGAAGGGAUGUUCCAGGCAAGACGUAUAGAAGGUUUUCGGGAAUUGCCUUGUCUCUCGCAAGAGACGGUAUGCUGGUUCAAAAACCACAGUGCUCUGUGGUGUUUCCCCCAACCCCCGGAAGGUGUUUCCCUGUCACCCCUGGAGCUGACAUCAGAGAGCAGGGGAGCUGUGGGGACCCACCCAAGGGUGUCACAGCAGAAUUCAAAGCUGGCAGCUCCUGAGGGGAAGACCCCCGUCCAGAUACUGCUUGAGAGUCAAAGUAUGCUCUCCUCUGACAGCCCCAGUGAGAGGAGAGUGGAAUCAGACAAUGUGGGGUUCACUCUAGUGUCCCCUCAAACUGAUAUGCAGCAUAAAAAUGAAUGAGAACAUGCCAUCAUGAAAUGCUGUGGAUAGGCUAUAUCACAGGGAGAAUGCCAGAGCCUGGCUCAACGGAAGUGUGGAGAGUUCUCCUAAAAGCAGCCAGUCUCUGAUGACUUAGAAGCCGUUUGACCUGAUAUGUCCCCAAAGUUGUGUGGCUCCUCCAUUGAGUGUGUCAGAGGGCCCCUUGGAGAACGCUGUGUUUCACAUACAUUCAGACACCACUGUGUUCCAUGGACCCACUGCAGAGUCCUGUGGUAUGCACUGCAGCUCUUGAUUUAACCAACUGCCACCACCUGGGAUGGACAGAUCGGUACAGACACCCUGAGGGUCCUCGGGCACACAACGCAUGAGUAGAAGGAAAAGAUAACACCUUCAAGUCACCCCAUUUCCAGAGAGAUUUCCAAAACCAGUUUCAGGGAUCCUUCCCAUGCCAGGCUGUUGGUGGCAGCCUCUCCUGGAGUGAUGAGCCACAAUGUAAAUCAGAGCCAGGGGCCAGUGUACUGGAGAUGUAUUUCUCCUAUCUACUUGUGCUGAACAAGAUUGGGGUCUCUCUUCAGAAGAGGGGAACUCCUCUUUUCUUUUCCAGGGUCCAAGUCAGAGUUGGUAAUCACACCUCCAGAAGGGAGAGGCAAGUCUAGAGGUGCCAGCCUGGCCAGGGAGACCGGGAAGUGGAGAGAUGGGCAUGAGAGCCGUGCAGCUGUGGAAAGUGAGGGCAGCACCCAUCCCCAAGGAUGAGGCUACAUGCAAGAGGCAUCUCCGAAAGAGACCAGCUUCUGUACACCUCAAGACAAUUAUGGGAAGUUAUGUUCUGCUACCCCCAAAAUGACAUCUGGAAUGACCAGCUGUGGGGGAUACUGGGAAACGUCUAGUACUGCGUGUUUGUGUUCGUCUCAUACACAUGGAGAUGUGAAGCCAAGAUCUCAAAACAUUUCAAGACCAAGUUCAGCUGAAGCAGAGGAGAGAAGCUCUGCUGGGACUUAACCUCAACGCUUGUGCUGUCGGUAGGUGGCAAAGCCAUUAAUGUGCCAAGUGGCCAGAUCUGUCAGAUGAACACAGAUGAAGAGGGAAGACUUGCAUGUCCCAGACCCAAUUAAACAUAAAAGCCAGAAGGAGCUGAUAAGCAGGGGGGAAGGAAGGGAACCUAGAUCCACACCACUCAAACAGCUAGCACGUCGGCAUCAUUUUCAGAGAAGCACUCAUAAGAUCUUUGAUCUCGAGAAUAAUUUUUACAACUUUCCUCCAAAAGUGCCCUCUUAGAAAAUCAUCACGCGAUGCCAUCAGCAUCACUUUUAAACUCUGUUCUCACUUCUCUUCCUCUUGCCACCACUCGAGGAGGAAUAUCGGGAUCAAUCCCAGCAGCUCUAUGUGAAGACGGACCGGUAUGCCCAUCAGAAUCUCAGCAAGGACUACUCUCGGCCUUGGUUUUUCUCUGAUUCCUCUGGGCUGCAUGUCAUGAAAAUGGAAAGCAACUCCUGAGACCAGUGACUGCCCCGUCCCUCAGGAGAACACAGUCUUUCAGACCUAGAGUAGGUCCACUUUGUUCAGCGUUUCAGUGGCCAGACACCACAGAAGACCAGCUCUGUGAUGGGAAGCUGUAUAGGGAACCAUCCAUUCUCCAUUACAGGAGCUGCCCUAGAGAAUUUUCAUCAAUCCAAGAGCCGUGUAAAGCCAGUUGAUCCGACAGGGUGGAUUGCCAUGUCUGCCAUUAGCUGCUUGCCCUCUGAGUUACUAUAAAGACUGAUUUGCAUAUAUUACUACGUGAAGGAAACUCCCACUAGGAUGUUGGCAAUUCAGGGAGGCAAUAAUGAACGCUUCCUUCUUCCCUUCCCAAUUAUGGGGCAACAGGAGUCAGAUAGAGGGAAAUUAAAAUAUUAUAUUGGAUUAUGUGGCAGUACUACUAUGAUUAUAGGUUCAAGUUGGCCCCAGACUCACAAGACAUGAUAGGUUUUGAUCUCAUGUUACAUUCAGGGGGGCUUUAUAGGAAGAUAUAAAACAUGGUGUGUGGUAGCUACAGCAUCUUCAUGUUAUCAGGAUGCUGGGCAGCAAGCCAGGGACCAGCUCUUUUUGCCCUGUCUCCUAAGUGGUGUGCAGGGCUGCCAAGGACAUGAAUGAGAGUUGAGCUUGAAGAAGCCGUAACUCCUCUUCCCCAUUAAUGGCUCAUGGCAUUCUAGACAUGCAGGCCCCAAGCCUAUGCCAACCCACAUCUCCCAACCAUCCACAUCUCCCCAGCCCUAGCACAGAGCCACCCAGUGGCAUGGGAGAGACACUCCCCCCCCCCCCCAUUUAUCUUUACUCAGCUCUUGUAAUACAGUUCUGAGGGGGGCAUUUGUGGGCCUGACCUCAGCACUUCUCUGACCAUCACUAACUAUAUGUCUCCAAUCAGUGCCUGAUCCUCUCUACCCAACCUGCUCCUCCACAGCCUUCCCACCUUGGUCAAGUCUGACCUACCUGCCAGUGGUGCAGACCGGGCACCUUGGAGGAAUCCGCAGCUCCUUUUUUCAUCCAUGUACCACACCUACUGCCACCACCCUGCCCAGGCCUCCAUCGUUCCUGGCCUGGGUGAUUCCAAGAGCCACCCAGCUGGUCUUCCGCUUUGUCCCUUUGCCUCCCGUGGCUCCCCAUCAACGGGUGAUUUUAAGCAAGGUAGGCAGCCUGAGCCCUCAAAAAAGAGAAAAGAGAAGAAAUACAUUCUUCCUCUGCUCAAGGCCAUCGGAGGACCUCUUGCUUUCUAGUCCCAUUCAUUCAUAAAAGGGAGCUGGACUCCUUGGAGAAAUGGCUGAUUCUAAGACUGGGGCAGGGAGCAGAAAAGAUGAGCCAGAAGGGAGUUCCCGUUGUGGCUCAGUGGGUUAAGAACCCGAAUAG